AGGGACUUUCAAGAUACAGCAAUGGGACAUAGGCAGACAUGAUUUUCUUGAAUCUGCCCCUGGCCUGGGGAUGUUUGUGACUGUUACAACGUACAAUGAAGAGCGGAUCCACUUAGAUAUUCGAGUUGGAGAACAUGACCUUGAUGCAGCUAUUGCUCAGGCAAAGGACAAAGUUAAUGAAGUUAUCUUCAAGCUUGAACAUCUAAUUGAACAAACUGAGCAAAUAGUCAAAGAACAAAACUACCAAAGGGACCGUGAAGAAAAUUUUCGAAUGACCAGUGAAGAUACAAAUAGCAACGUUCUAUGGUGGGCUUUUGCCCAAACAUUAACCUUUAUUUCAGUUGGAAUUUUCCAAAUGAAGUACCUUAAAGACUUCUUUAUAGCUAAGAAGCUUGUUUAAAAAAUUAUCAAUAAAGGCAAAUAAUCUGCAUGAUAUAAAUCAAAAUACCU